rnacentral:rRNA from 1 species
AUGAACGCUGACAGAAUGCUUAACACAUGCAAGUCAACUUGAACUUCGGUUUGGGUGGCGGACGGGUGAGUAACGCGUAAAGAACUUGCCUCACAGAUAGGGACAACAUUUGGAAACGAAUGCUAAUACCUGAUAUUAUGAUUUUAGGGCAUCCUAGGAUUAUGAAAGCUAUAUGCGCUGUGAGAGAGCGUUGCGUCCCAUUAGCUAGUUGGAGAGGUAACGGCUCACCAAGGCGAUGAUGGGUAGCCGGCCUGAGAGGGUGAUCGGCCACAAGGGGACUGAGACACGGCCCUUACUCCUACGGGAGGCAGCAGUGGGGAAUAUUGGACAAUGGACCAAGAGUCUGAUCCAGCAAUUCUGUGUGCACGAUGAAGUUUUUCGGAAUGUAAAGUGCUUUCAGUUGGGAAGAAAAAAAUGACGGUACCAACAGAAGAAGUGACGGCUAAAUACGUG